rnacentral:snRNA from 1 species
AUGCUCACUUCGGCAGCACAUAUACUAAAAUUGCAGUGAUACAGAGAAGAUUAGCAUGGCCCCUGUGUAAGGAUGCCAUGCAAAUUUGUGAAGCGUUCCAUAGUAAA